CUUAAACUUCAUCAAAAACUACCUUGACCAAACACUUUAACCUGAAGCGAGAUAGACAGAUGGACGAACGGACGAAUGAACAAAUGAAUAAAAAACACAGACACACAAACCAGAAAACAUAAUGCCCAUAAAUGGGGCAUAAAAACAUAAUGUGCCUAGGUGGGGCAUAAAAAACCUCUUGACAUGUCCAAUUAAGAAACUUAAGUUGGUACUAACUAUUUUGCGCUUUGGUUCUUACCAUCAUAUCUCUUUUAAUAUGUUCACUCUGUUCCAGCUUUGUUUUAUUUUCUUUCAGUUCAUCUAUCUUUAGUUGGACCUUCUUCUCUUUUUCUUCAAAAUCAACCUAAAAUCAAAAUUUAAAUUUAAAUACAGUAACAACUGCAACAGUAUUUUCAGGCAUUACCUAAAAUUUGAAUGGUACUGUGCAGUAC
rnacentral:lncRNA from 1 species